rnacentral:tRNA from 1 species
GUGUUUGUGGCUCAGUUGGUAGAGCAUGGUGUUUGCAACGCCAGGGUUGUGGGUUCGAUUCCCACGGGGGACC